CCUUGCAGAGGGGCCAGGAUCCAGCAGAUCUCGCAGAACUAGGGUUUCCAUUCCUUAUUACAAGUCUCUAUACAACAAGAGCAGGAGUUGCCGAGUGCUGCAAAAGCAGCAAGAAAUACCCUGAUGAAUGUAGUUCCAGGCCAAGGCCAUGGAUGGGUUUCGAUUCAGCAUGUCCUUGCACAGGGCCGUGACUGGCUGGGAAGCCCUGGGCUAGGAGAGCAGGACAAGCAGAGGGCACUUCCUGUGGGACAGUCCCCCACAAUGCAAGAAUCUCAAAGACAAAUCAUGUAACCAAUCCAAUCUUUAUUGGCGCCAGAGUGGACUAGCCCAGAUGUCACACAUCCCACCAUCCAGAUCCUCCAUGCACAAAGGCCAUGCCAGCAACCGUCUGGGAUGGACACCCGAGAGGCACUGACCCAUCACAGGUGUUGUUAGAGAUCAGGGCUGCUGUCCAGGCACCUUCUUCGGGGAGGCGAUUAACGUAGCACGUCACCAAAUCAUCUCCUUACUGGGCAGCUGCAGCCGUGCAGUCCCAGAGUGUUGGCCUUUGUCCUGGCUCUGGCCGUCACUCCCAAGGCAGAGAGGACCAGACAGGGAAAAGGUCCCCAUGGGCCCGGCCUGCAUGUGCUGCAUUCCGUGCCAUGCAGGGAAGCGAAGGGUUAACAAGGCAGCCAGGCUCCCCGGGUUGGACCAGGGGAUGGGCUGAGGGUCACUCGCAGGUCACAGGUGGGGAACGUUUUCAUAAAUGUCACUCGUGGGUAGGGGUCCCCUUUCUGGAGCCCCCGCUCCUGCAGCUGACUCCCCGGUGGGCUUGCAGUUGGAGAGCACAGUGUAGGUGACACAGUAUUCCUCCUGGAGACGGCACACGGACAAUCAGUAGGGGACCAAGGGAUAAAGUCAAGAGAGAGAACAGAAGGAGCAGCACAGCUGGGGUGUAGGGGUGGGGUGUUGCACUUACAUUGUCCCUUGGCAGAGUUCCCUCGGGCUUGUCUGUAAGAGGAAUGGAGAGGGAUAAGAACUAGGCAUUAACAUUCACCCUGAUCUCCCAUCCCCUGCCUCUCUGCGACUGGAUGGGUGUGAGACACAAAGCUGAGGUGCUCAGGAUCCUAGGGCUCUGACAUGGGGCGCUGGCCAUGCCCGAACCUGGGAAGUUACAUCCACCAACCUAAAUGCUAAACAGGAUGUCGACAGAUGUAUAGACCACGUCUCCUUCAUGCUCCUGAGCCAAGGGAUACACUGUAAAAGCAAAGCCGGGCCUCACUUACACCUUAUGGCCCUCGAGGAAGUGCCUGGACUAGGUAUCAUCUGCUCUCCCGGCAGCUGCUGUCCUGUGCCUGCCACCCAUGCUGGCUCGCCAGGUCGCAGCGGGAUCAGACCAGGCUACAGCAGGGCUAAGUGUUGAGUGAGUCGGACCUUUGGCACCUGCCCCCAUUCAGUGCCAGGGUAGAGCCAGCUUCCUGAAGUGGCCCAAACCCUCCUCCCUCCCCAGACCCAUGGGCAUUGCCACUGAAAGGAUGACAGAGGCGUGGGCAGGCAAGGACUCAGAGAGUGACUCAACCCUGCCAGCAUCAGCUCAGCUCUCUAGCACCAGGGUUCUCAACCAGGCGCUUGCUCCCUGCUCAUAGGAGAGGGGUGGGGUAGGAUCUCAGCUGGGAGGGAUGGGGGAAUUCAAGGGGUCCUGGUAUGAAAAUGUAGCUCCUGCUCCAGGGAAGGCAGAGAACCGUGCUCUAGUACAGACAAGGCCUUGGCCCCCUUGGAACAGCAGCCAGGGUCAGACCAGGGCCUCCCAGCGGGCCCACAGGCUGUGUGUGCACAAAGGGACAGCAACAGAGAGAGCAGCUGAGCACCCAGGCCUCAGGGCACUGCCUCCCCUCUCUGGUGUGGGCCACACACAGGCCACAAGCCGCAUCUUAUU